GAGAUCAUGACCUGAGCCGAAGGCAGCGGCUUAACCCACUGAGCCACCCAGGUGCCCCACUAAUGUAGUAUUUUUCAACAUUUACUCAAUAUUGUAAUGUUGGUAUUUAGUCCUUCCCUAUAAUUUCAGAUGCUAAUGUGUAUCAUGGUAUCUCAUUGUGUUUUUUUUAAAUUUUUUAAAGAUUUUAUUUAUUCUUUGACAGAGAUCACAAGUAGGCAGAGAGAGAGGAGGAAACAGGCUCCCUGCUGAGCAGAGAGCCCGAUGUGGGGCUUGAUCCCAGGACCCUGGGAUCAUGACCUGAGCUGAAGGCAGAGGCUUAACCCACUGAGCCAUCCAGGGCAAUUGAAAAAACACUUUCACUCUCUACUGAAUUGACUUUGCCUUUUUCCCUCCAAAUCAAUUGACAAGGGAAGCUCAGGGGAGGAGUCUAGCCAUCCUGCUGGAAAGGCAUUAAGAGACCAAGUGAAGAGGGACAGGGUCUGAGAGUACAUGAAAUAAAGCUGAGGAACCCACUGGCAGCGAAAACAGAGGCCUAGCAACGGGACUUCCAGUUAGGUUUCACGCUCUGAACGAAGAGGCCACCUUCGGUAUCCAAGCAGCAGGUACCGAAUAACAGGUAAAUCGUUCCUAUCCCGCCCAGUUUGAACUCCUCACCCCCAGAAACAGGACAUAAUAAAGUGGUCCUCGCCCUGGCUACUACUCCAUUUUGGGUAGACUUUGUUAUGUAGCCACAAACGUUAAAGACAUUUAAAAAGAAAACCUCUGGCCCCACAUGGUGUCGCUGAGGCCACGUCACCAAAUCGGGGCCAUACUAACCCCAGUGCACUUUCAUCCUCUCCCAGAAAUGCAGUCUUAACCUGCCAUGCAGGAACCUCCGGGUCACCACAACGGUCAUCGGUCACACGGGUCCUCUAUCCCCCAAAGGAAGAGAUGACCCACCUAAUUAGGACCCCCGCCCUUGCUCCAAGGGAAGAUGGCCUUGCCCGGAACAACCCUUUUCUUUUGCUAAUAACCCUCUCGGCCCACCCGCUUCCGAUAAAGUCCUACGUGGCCCUCCUCGGUGCUCAGGGUACUCGCUCGUUCGCUGCCAGGUGCAUGCAUCGCUUCACGAAGGCGAUCGGACCUUCGGUUUACUCAGUUUUGUUCCCGGGCAGCGCCUCCGACCCGGGCGCAGACGCGCCGCCUCAUCUGCCUCCGCCCGAGCCUGCCACCAGUUCGGUUCCAUCCCCAGCUGCUCACGGACAACGAGUAGUAGGGCUGGGGAGGCCUGGGUCACAGCCGGUCUUCCUUUACCAAACCCGCACACGGUAACUCAGAGGUUCCAGUCACCUGCCCCUGGCCGCACGGUCCUCCCCACGGAGCCCUCCACAGCGCCACUACUUGCAGCCGUAUCACAGGUCAACACUAAGGAAAUUUUACGGUACUGGACACGGAAUGAGCGGAUCUGAGCGCGGGACGCCCCGGCCAAGCCCCAUACCCGUCCUGGCAACAAGCGGCGUGGUGAAGACCAGCCCCAAGGAGCAAGAGAAGGCCAAGCACCCGCCCAAGGUGUCCGAGGUUCUGCGCGGAAGGGAGGGUCCACUUCACAGCCCUGCCUCGCCCACCGGCCGCGGUGGAUUCUGAGAGUCCGCUCCGCUGCGGUGUGCGCAUGCGUGCCCCCGCCGCCGUGGUCUCGGAGUCCCAAACGCCCCGUUGUCCUGCCCAGCCAGAAGCAGAGCUUCAGUAUUGAGGGGCGAAUAUAGAACCGGGAAUGCCUGGGUUAGGAACGAACCAAAAGCCCUUAUCCAAAAAAGCAUGGUCUCCUUUCUCCCGGUCUCGGGACUGGCAUGGGUGAAGUAAAGUUUUUGCGGAUGAGGAUGCGCAUGCGUACGGGCGACAGCGGAAGCGGUGCUUCAGCUUCCUGUGUCUCCAGUGGGAGCGUUGGGAGGGAACGCGGUCGGGAGUACUGGAACACGCAUGUGUGCGGGCGGGCGUGCGCAGCGGCGGAAGGAGGUUUGCUGCGCAGCCGCGUGGAGUCCCACGCCGCCGCUCUCCGCGGAGUGGUAGAGGCGUUCGGAAGUGGCAGUUGGCAGUUGUGCUGGCUGGAGAGGACGCCGCGGGCUCGCUUCGUGUAGUAGUACGGCGGUCCCUGCACCAAACGCGCGCUGGGCAGGUGCCGGGCGCAGUGGAGCGUGCGCCUCGACCGCUGGGCCUCGGGCGGCGCGUCGCGCUUGCAGCUGCUGGGGUCCGCGCUCUUCCAGCUGGUGUCUCAGGAUCCAGUCCUUCUCAGGCAGAGACAUUUAGACAAAGAGGAAUGGCUGCUUCAGCGCCAGCAGAGCAUCAAGCUCUGCAUCCACAGGACUCCGGUCUUCAAGAGAGGGGCUCCAUGAAGGGGAGGGUAACCCCGGAAUUCUAGAAGGCACAUCACUGACGUAUGUACAUAUACUUGUCCAAAAAAGAUCUGGAUCCUGUCAUACACGCCAUAACACCCACACCGUGCAAGUCUUUCCGCCAAGACCUAGCCCUUUUCUCCAAGACCUUGUGAAUAAGAAAGUGUUUGGAAUUUCAGCGAUCAGUAAUGUUCCAAGAUGUGGCCAUCAACUUUUCCCAAGAAGAAUGGCGAUUCCUGAACCCUGCUCAGAGAAAAUUGUACACAGUGGUGAUGUCGGAGAAUUAUCAGAACCUGGUUUGGCUUGGAGAGUGAGUCAGUGUGGGAGCG